AACGUGAAAACUAAUUUCAUAUGCAUUUUACCAGCUGUAGACUGGUGUCAACCAAAAACCUGAAUUAAUUGUUAAUAAUUUAGUUUAAGAAAUCUGUUUACUAAACAAUGCUUAAUAGUCCAUAAACAAUAACGUUUCCAGGCAGAAUGUGAAUUUUCUGAACUGCGUGGUGUUAAGCUGACCGUCACGUGGCAUUGAAACAAUUCCUUCAUCUGAACACGAGGGCGAGACAUUUCUGCAAAAGUCUUAUUUCGUCAUCAGUGGGCGACAGAGGCUACACGGAAAACUAUAAAUUGUGACGCAAACACGUCGCUAGCCCUUUUCCGACCUGCUUCGUGUCUCACCACAUGUUGUGAGGUCGCCACGUUUACUUUGUUAAACAAGUCUAAACGUUUCCUAGAACUUGUGACUAGUAAAGUUUUAGAUGAUGCCAGAGAUGGAAGGUUCUUCAAGAGUUGGUGACUUAAGUAUUAGUCAUCAUUUCUGAUAAAUGCGGGUGAGUACUUGAUUACCCCCCCCCCCCUAAUGUUCCAAUUAAACUUAAAGGCCUGCUCCCAGAACACCAGUUGAGCCAUGCCAGAACCCAUCUAGACUUAAAGUACCUGUCUUAUUGUGGGUUUUUAAAUCAAGCCAAAUUUAAUAGCUUUAAAUAGACGUGGUUGGCCACUUUCUGCUUGCCUGGUUUUCAGAGGUCUUGGACUUAAGAGCAGGACAGGGGAGCUGUGAGAGAUCUGGUGGUCAAUGGGCGUGCAUGCUGCCCUCUACUGUACCAACAUUUUGGUUAGUAGUGCCUUCACACUCAUAGUUUGAGUGGAGCUAGCAAUGGCGAUCACUCGACUCCAUGUGGCGCUGUUGGCACACCCCAACUGGUGCUCUAAGAGUAGGCCUUGUAACUGCAUCCACUGAUAGACCUGAAGCAGGCUUCAUUGGCUUCUGUGUUUGCAUAGAGAUGCUAAAGUUGUUGGUGAGACUCCUUUGUGUUGAGUGGGUGAAGGAUUGGUACGCCUUUUUAUUGUACCAGCUGUUCAACUGUUGCAUUGGUAAUUAUUUGUAAAAUCUGAUUUUGACCUUGGUUUAAUUGUAAUAUAUCCUUUGACUGUCAAAAUAAACUUGGAUUUCUGAAGUGAAUUUGUUUUUUUCUUCCUUAAAUUGGAUGGGGCUAUACUAUUAAGCCUUGUUUAGUAAAUAAUAUCCAUAUAUAUUACCUUUGUCAUGCACAUUUUUAAAGCAAUAUUUGUAAGCCAUUUUCACAUCUGGACAGAUGACUCAAUAUGAGGCACCACCCAUUUCAUGUCAUCCUAGAGCCAGCCACAGCGUCAGCAGCCUGUCCGUUGCGCCCACAGAUGCAAACGUCCGAACUCCUGCAAAGAUGGAUGUGCAUAUACAGUGAUAGACAAAAUUGUUGGUACUGCUCAGUUAAAGUCCACAAUGCUCACUGAAAUGACUUUAAACGUUUAAAAGUAACAAGUUAAAAUUUAUUGAAAUUAAUCUAAAUCAGCCAUUACUUUUAAGUUGGUUAACAGAAUUAUUUUAAAAAAAAACUAAUGAAAUAGGGCUGGACAAAACUGAUGGUACCCAUAACUUAAUGUUUUGUUGCACAACCUUUUGAAGCAAUCACUGCAAUUAAAUGGUUUCUAUAUUUGUCAAUGAGCCUUCUGCACCUGUCCACAAGUAUUUUGGCCCACUCCAUGAGCAAACUGCUCCAGUGUCAGGUUUGAUGGGUGUCCUCUCCAAACGGCAUGUUUCAGCUCCUUCCACAGAUGUUCAAUGGGUU
ensembl:lncRNA